GGCUUACUUCAGGAGGACAUAUAGUAGUGUUAGAGCCGUAUAGAGAUAAUUAACGUGGCCCCUGUGCAAGGACAACAUGCAAAUUCAUGAAGCAGUCAUAAUUUUC
rnacentral:snRNA from 1 species